CUCAAGAGGACAUUCAGUUCACUUCUGAACAAGACGUCUAUUUUUGCAGCUGCUCAGUUACGAGCACAAAUCUUUGCUUACGAGUACGAAUCCAAAAGUGCAAAACAGCUGUCAAAAUUACGUCAUUGCUGUCGCAGCCAUUACUAAAAGACUGGAAGAUAAAUCAAUCUGUCAAAGUGCGCAUGCGCGCCCCUGAAUCUCAGCUAGUGGGGGAUGGGCAGUCAUUUCAACCUCAUCGCGGCAAAAUGGCAGAAGAACAAGUACACUCUCACACACCCACUCAGAUCAUGUACCUGGAACCAGCAACGAACAACCGCUCAAACACUGCGCUAUCAUUUCUUCUCAAGUCUGUGCAAAAUUAUGGGUGGCCUUCAAGGUGAGCAGCACCUUUUAUGUCUCAUUCACUUGGAUUAUUAUCAGUAACAUUAUGGCUGCCAUGAAGAAUUUUUAGGGUCAGAGGUGAUGAAGGUGUGGGAAACGUGGGAAGCUUCAUUGCCGGCAAAAGCGUACAUAACCAAAGGUAAUAAAAAAAAGUUUUUUGUCUAAUUGAAGUAAACUUUAGGUGUUAAUCGUCAGUCAUUUCAUUGUAUAGAGGAAAAAGGUUCAAUCAAAUUGAUUGAUGACCAAGACUAACUUUGUGCCUAAUAUAUUGUUGCUCAAAGGAAGGAAAUGGUUUUGAACCACACACAAGCAAGAGUGAAUAAUGGUUCAUGGCGGGACAUCUGGCUUUGCGUGACACAGCAGUAUUAUGACCUUCUUCAGCCUGGAAGAAGAUGGCUUGUUGGACAUGUCAGAUUCUCUUCAUGUGUUUUGUGCACAUUACGUGUUUCUCCCACGUCUAGAGCAUGACUUGCACACUUUUGCUGAAGGCUGGGACAAUCAUCCAUUGCAUACCGAAGGUGGACUCGCUCCUAACCAGCUGUGGAUUCUAGGACACAUGCAGAACUCUUCUGGUGACACAGAGGAGCAUUUGCAGAAUCUGGAGCUGUUUGGACAGACUGGGAGACGUGUGACAGUGUGACAGAAGAAGCCAUUGGAGUUCAUGUAUCUGAAAUUAAGUGCCCCCUCACUCUGUCAAUGAUGGAAACACUAAAAUCAACAUUUAAUCCUCUUAAAUCCUCUGACUCUUAUGGAAGAGAUCUUUAUAUAUCCUUGCUUCAGUAUAUUGAAAGUAUGUUAACAGCACAAAGCCAUGUCUGA